AUUGAACGCUAGCGGGAUGCUUUACACAUGCAAGUCGAACGAGUGGCGGACGGGUGAGUAAUAUAUCGGAACGUGCCCAGUAGCGGGGGAUAACUACUCGAAAGAGUGGCUAAUAACGCAUACUAUUGGAGCGGCCGAUAUCGGAUUAGCUAGGUGGGAGUGUAAAGGCUCACAAAGGCAACGCUCCGUAGCUGGUUGUGGAGGAGGACGAGCAACACUGGGACUGGGACACGGCCCAGACUCCUACGGGAGGCAGCAGUGGGGAAUUUUGGACAAUGGGGGAAACCCUGAUCCAGCCAUCCCGCGUGUAUGAGAAGGCCUUCGGGUUGUAAAGUACUUUUGGCAGAGAAGCGGUAUCUGCAGAAUAAGCACCGGCUAACUACGUGCCAGCAGCCGCGGUAAUUC
rnacentral:rRNA from 1 species